UACGUAGGUGGCGAGCGUUGUCCGGAUUUACUGGGCGUAAAGGGCGUGCAGGCGGUUUGUUAAGUGCAGGGUGAAAGCUCCCGGCUCAACUGGGAGAGGUCCUUGCAUACUGGCGAACUCGAGGGAGGCAGAGGAAAGUGGAAUUCCCGGUGUAGUGGUGAUAUGCGUAGAUAUCGGGAGGAACACCUGUGGCGAAGGCGGCUUUCUGGGCCUUACCUGACGCUGAGGCGCGAAAGCUAGGGGAGCAAACGGG
rnacentral:rRNA from 1 species